rnacentral:rRNA from 1 species
AGAAGUUAUAGGUCUUCUUAUAGCYGCUGCCGGUGGACCAUUAAACUCUUGUUAUUUUAUGUAAUCUGASCGUCUUAUUUUAAUAAGUCAAAACUUUCAACAACGGAUCUCUUGGUUCUGGCAUCGAUGAAGAACGCAGCGAAAUGCGAUAAGUAAUGUGAAUUGCAGAAUUCAGUGAAUCAUCGAAUCUUUGAACGCACAUUGCGCCCAUUAGUAUUCUAGUGGGCAUGCCUGUUCGAGCGUCAUUUCAACCCUUAAGCCUAGCUUAGUGUUGGGAAUCUACUUCUCUUAGGAGUUGUAGUUCCUGAAAUACAACGGCGGAUUUGUAGUAUCCUCUGAGCGUAGUAAUUUUUUUCUCGCUUUUGUUAGGUGCUAUAACUCCCAGCCGYUAWWYCCCCAA